rnacentral:misc_RNA from 1 species
AACAGACUUGAACACCACAAUUACUUAAUUGUUUUUGUGUUCAAAGCGUGAUGCAUAUUGUUAGUCUUGCACAACUAAAGUGAAAUAUUGUUAAAAAGACCCUAAUCGAUCAUCAGAAGGAGAAAACGGUAUCGCGACUUUUUCCCUUUUACAAGAACCCUAUCUGCAUCAGCCGGACGAUAUGAGUCGGUCAGUGGACGAGCUCGGAACUACCAAACCGGAUCCGACGAAGAAGCCCGUCUUCCUCACCAAAGCACAGCGAGAGCAGCUAGCCCUACAGCGCCGCCACGAUGAAAUCGCCGAACAGAAACGGCGGGCCGAACAGCUUCUCCAACAACAGGGUAACAACCGCCCUUCCUCCACCGAUAACGACCAUGAACGAGAUCAUCGUGACAGAGAUAGUAGGGGUGACCACCAUCGCUCCAGGGACCGGGACAGGGACAGAGACAGAGACAGAGAUAGGGAAAGAGAAAGGGAGUCGAGGGACCGGGAGGUGGAGCGCCGGAAGCGCGAGAGGGAGCGUGACGAAGAGGUGAAGGAACGAGAGCGAGCUCGACUGGACAAAUUAGCUGAGCGAGAGCGAGAGAAAGAGCUUGAUGCAAUCAAAGAGCAGUACCUUGGCUCCAAAAAACCUAAGAAGCGGGUGAUUAAACCUAGUGAGAAAUUCCGAUUUUCGUUUGAUUGGGAGAACACCGAGGACACAUCUCGCGACAUGAACGCUCUAUACCAAAACCCUCACGAAGCCCGCUUACUCUUUGGUCGCGGAUUCCGUGCUGGAAUGGACCGGAGGGAGCAGAAGAAGCUUGCUGCCAAGAAUGAGAGAGAGCUGCGGGAGGAGAUCUGGAAAAAGGAUGGCGUUGAGGAGUCUGCCGUAGAAGCAGCUGCCCUGAAGAAGAAGGAACAGGAUGCCGACAUGUAUGACACUUUUGACAUGAGGGUCGAUCGCCAUUGGUCAGACAAGAAGCUAGAGGAAAUGACAGAGAGAGAUUGGAGGAUAUUCAGGGAGGAUCACAAUAUAUCAUACAAGGGGUCGAGGAUACCCCGUCCAAUGAGGAAUUGGGUCGAGAGCAAGUUAACUACUGAGUUGCUCAAGGCUGUUGAUAGGGCUGGCUACAAGAAGCCGUCUCCCAUACAAAUGGCUGCCAUUCCACUUGGACUUCAACAGCGUGAUGUGAUUGGCGUUGCAGAGACUGGUUCAGGUAAAACUGCUGCUUUUGUUCUCCCUAUGUUGACUUAUAUCACUAGGCUUCCUCCAUUGAGUGAGGAGAAUGAGGCGGAGGGGCCAUAUGCCGUUGUUAUGGCCCCCACACGAGAACUUGCUCAACAAAUUGAGGAUGAGACUGUCAAGUUCGCACACUAUUUGGGUAUCAAAGUUGUUUCUAUUGUUGGUGGGCAGUCCAUAGAGGAGCAAGGUUUUAGGAUUAGGCAAGGUUGUGAAGUUGUGAUUGCAACCCCUGGGCGACUUCUUGAUUGCUUGGAGAGACGUUAUUGUGUUCUGAACCAGUGUAAUUAUGUUGUUCUUGAU